UUUAGAAAAACAGGUCAUUUUGACUGUUGAGAAAUUCUAUGUCCAUUAGAAGGUAUCUUUUGAAGAAGAUUGCUCUUAUGUUCAACUGACUUGGUCAUUGCCAUUUAGAAACAUUUAUUUUUAAUUGGAAGAUCAUUGGAAGCUACAGGUAAAAGGAUGACACUAGAACCCUUCCCAACUCCAUACAGAAAAGAAACUCAAAAUGGAUUAACAACUUAAAUGAAGGCCAGAAUCCAUGAAACUCUUAGAGGAAAACAUAGGCAGUACACUCUUUGAUGUACAUCACAGCACGAUCCUCUUUGAUCCACCUCCUAGAGUAUUGGAAAUAAAAACAAAAUAAACAAAUCCGACUUAAUUCAACUAAAAGUCACAGCAUUGUUCCUGGGUUGACAGCACUGCCUGAGAGCCCGUGUCAGGCCACCUCCCAGCUGCCUGCAGCCGCAGCGUUGCCACGCCUUAGAAGGGUGUAUGUCAGCAAAGAACAAUGUUUUGACUUCUCACCAUAAUACAGUCUUACUUUGCAUAAGGUAAGCCCAACCCUUGAGAAAACAAGCUAUGAAAUGACCGCUUAAAUCUUCCUCUGGGUUCACUUCACUAGCCCAGAUAAUUGCACAGGAAACCAGACCAAUGGGCUGACAGGGACUGAGCAAACAGUUCUUUCCACAGAGAUUCCUGAAUCCCUAAUAAAACCAACAGAAGACAGAUGAACACCACAUACAGGUGCCUCUGGAAUGAAGAGUACCCAGCUAACAUAUAAGCAUCUAAACUUGACAUCCUAAAAAAUACUUAGUAGAAUUAAAACAACUAUGUGACAAGAAGUGAAAUGAUAGUGAUUGUGUUUCAAGAACCAGGUUACCGAAGUAAGGCCACCUGUCCCUCAUGAGGCUAAAGGUGUAAGGUUGCCGUCAUCCAAGCAUGGUCCAACUCCUCCCCCCCAACUCCUCCUCCCACUCCUGCCCUGCGCUUAUCUCUCUCUUUCUCUCUUUUUGUCAACAUUCCUCCUCUCUGGUACAGAGGUCCACAAUUUUUAGGUAGUUCAGGAUCUCCGUUCUCCUCUUCUGUCUCAAUCCCACAGUGAGACAGCUGCACUAUUUGGGGUAAAUCCUUAAUGCACUGGUGCCUGGAAGCUGCCUGCAUGAAGUAAGCUGGAUAAUGUUAGUGCUCAUCUCAUCUGUUUUCCUUCUCUCUGUGCUACCUGAUGUUCAAGGUCCAAAAAUAGUUUUCCAGUUGGAAGAUCAACUCUACGGAUAUCAGUGCAAAAGAAGUCACAUAUGUUAUUUUUAUUCUGUUUUACAAAUCUGCCAUUCCAUGAUAAAUCAGGAUAAUAACCUUAUCACUUAACUAGACAUUAUUUGACACCUGCCUUACAAAAAAUUUUCUCCACAGCAUGUUGACAGAGUCAACAUGAAUAUAACUACUUCAGAGAAAUGACUUGGGUUGAGGAGGAAGCACUUUCCACACAGAGGGCUCCUUCUCUGACCCAUGGGAAUCGGAGACAGACACAAGGAAGGAACCUCUGACUAUUCCAUCUAGAAAUUGUAACUGGGGUUUCUGGUGAAGCUAGAGAUACCUGUACCAUGCAAAAAAUUAUGGAAGUAAUAAUAGAAUAUUUCCCUCAGCACGCUUAUGUUUAGGACUCUCUUCUUAGGGUCCUGUCCCAUUCUCCUGUAUGUACCCCACAAGCUAUUACCAGGAGGAAUAGGUCAGACAACACUGUGGUGCAAUUUUCACGAUCACCACCAGAGGGCGGGGCUUCCUUCAGUUGCGGUUCCUCAUUGUAUUCAGGAGCUGGUUUCACUUGCCUGCUUGUAGCCACAAGACAGAAUAUUGCUGCAGUACAGAAAGGCGCUCUCAAGUUUCUGAGCGAGGAGCUUCUGUAACAUCCAGAUGAAGACUAGAUUUGUUAGACUGGUGUAUUGCAGGGAACAAGGAUCGUUUUCUUUUGCGAACAUGCAUUCUGUCACUCAGUCAGUUCUUCUGAUCAUCUUAAUAUUCAGAGGGACCAAUGGUGACUCAGUGAACCAGACAGAAGGCCCAGUGACUGUCUCAGAGGGGGCUCUCAUGACCCUGAACUGCACUUACCAGACUGCUGAUUUUUCUGCCUAUGUUUUCUGGUACGUCCAGCAUCUCAACAAAGCUCCUCAACUCCUCCUGAAGGGUUUAACAGCAGACAAGAAGGUAGAGCAUGAAGGUUUUCAGGCCACUCUUGAUAGGAGUGACAGCUCCUUCCACCUGCAGAAACGGGCAGUGCAAGCAUCAGACUCGGCCGUGUACUACUGUGCUCUGAGUGACACAGUGAGAGAGGGCUGCAGGGGAGCUGAGCACAAACCCCGAGUGCAGAUGGGGCUCUGGCUGUGGGCAGCCCUGCAAGGGGUUGUUGUUUCUCUCUCCAGUGUGCUAUGCUAGAGGUAUUGUCAAAGCACUUCCAGGUCUGCUCCUCAGAGCCAAGGACCUAGGAAUUCUUCAGUUGCUCUACAGAGAGGAAUCUGGAGAGGGACAGUGCAAAAAGGAACCUAAGAAGUUUUCUCCAGAAAUGCCUGUUUUCAGCCCAUCGACAUCCCCCUAGAUAGAAUCCCUUAAAGUGACAUUAACUCUUCAAUGACAAUUCAGAUUAUAUAUGCUGAAAUAUUUCACAAUGUGUUAAGGAAUAUUCCAGGGCACAUUGUUGAUGGAUGACUGUGUGACCUGGAAGCUAGUCUCUUGUUUUUAAAAUUCAGGCCAAGAUUGUGUAUCCUGCUGAGUUUCACCUGCAGACACUCCAUCUUCAGUGACUGGAGCUUUAUUCUCUCUUUUCUUGACUUUUCCAUCCCUUCUGGUUGCUCCAGAAAUCCUGCUGCCUAAGUAAGUUCCAGGAGGAGAGUUUCUGAGAAGAUAUUCCUUCUGUCAAGGGCCCUGUGGAUCAGAGCAGCCCACUCUGUAAAUAUCGCAGGUGUUGUGUGUAUUGUUUGUAUUCAAACUGGGUACAGGAUAUUCUCUUUGCUAAUAACCUCUUCUCACGGAAAUGAAUGCCAAAGAAUGUUCAAAUUACCAUACAAUUGCACUCAUUUCAAAUGUUAGCAAGAUUAUGCUCAAAAUCCUUCAAGCUAUGCUUCAGCAGUACAUGAAC